rnacentral:rRNA from 1 species
AGAGUUUGAUCAUGGCUCAGGAUGAACGCUGGUGGCGUGCCUAAUACAUGCAAGUCGAGCGGACGAUUCAAAAGCUUGCUUUUGAAUCGUUAGCGGCGGACGGGUGAGUAACACGUGGGCAACCUGCCCUGUAGACGGGGAUAACACCGAGAAAUCGGUGCUAAUACCGGAUAACACGAAAGAUCGCAUGAUCUUUCGUUGAAAGGCGGCGCAAGCUGUCGCUACAGGAUGGGCCCGCGGCGCAUUAGCUAGUUGGUGAGGUAACGGCUCACCAAGGCGACGAUGCGUAGCCGACCUGAGAGGGUGAUCGGCCACACUGGGACUGAGACACGGCCCAGACUCCUACGGGAGGCAGCAGUAGGGAAUCUUCCGCAAUGGACGAAAGUCUGACGGAGCAACGCCGCGUGAGCGAGGAAGGCCUUCGGGUCGUAAAGCUCUGUUGUUAGGGAAGAACAAGUACCGCAGUCACUGGCGGUACCUUGACGGUACCUAACGAGAAAGCCACGGCUAACUACGUGCCAGCAGCCGCGGUAAUACGUAGGUGGCAAGCGUUGUCCGGAAUUAUUGGGCGUAAAGCGCGCGCAGGCGGUUCCUUAAGUCUGAUGUGAAAGCCCACGGCUCAACCGUGGAGGGUCAUUGGAAACUGGGGGACUUGAGUGCAGAAGAGGAGAGCGGAAUUCCACGUGUAGCGGUGAAAUGCGUAGAGAUGUGGAGGAACACUAGUGGCGAAGGCGGCUCUCUGGUCUGUAACUGACGCUGAGGCGCGAAAGCGUGGGGAGCAAACAGGAUUAGAUACCCUGGUAGUCCACGCCGUAAACGAUGAGUGCUAGGUGUUAGAGGGUAUCCACCCUUUAGUGCUGUAGCUAACGCAUUAAGCACUCCGCCUGGGGGAGUACGCUCGCAAGAGUGAAACUCAAAGGAAAUUGACGGGGGCCCGCAC